rnacentral:rRNA from 1 species
CCCUUAGAUGUUCUGGGCCGCACGCGCGCUACACUGUUCGACGCAGCGAGUCUUAACCUUGACCGAAAGGUUUGGGUAAUCUUCAGCAAAGUCGAACGUGAUGGGGAUCGAUCAUUGCAAUUAUUGAUCGUGAACGAGGAAUUCCUAGUAAGUGCAAGUCAUCAGCUUGCGCCGAUUACGUCCCUGCCCUUUGUACACACCGCCCGUCGCUACUACCGAUUGAAUGGUUUAGUGAGAUCUCUGGAUUGACGCUGGCUAGGGGGCGACCCUUGGCCGGACUGUUGAGAAACUGCUCAAACUUGAUCAUUUAGAGGAAGUAAAAGUCGUAACA